rnacentral:rRNA from 1 species
CAGGCCUAACACAUGCAAGUCGAACGGUAGCACAGAGAGCUUGCUCUCGGGUGACGAGUGGCGGACGGGUGAGUAAUGUCUGGGAAACUGCCCGAUGGAGGGGGAUAACUACUGGAAACGGUAGCUAAUACCGCAUAACGUCUUCGGACCAAAGUGGGGGACCUUCGGGCCUCACACCAUCGGAUGUGCCCAGAUGGGAUUAGCUAGUAGGUGGGGUAAUGGCUCACCUAGGCGACGAUCCCUAGCUGGUCUGAGAGGAUGACCAGCCACACUGGAACUGAGACACGGUCCAGACUCCUACGGGAGGCAGCAGUGGGGAAUAUUGCACAAUGGGCGCAAGCCUGAUGCAGCCAUGCCGCGUGUAUGAAGAAGGCCUUCGGGUUGUAAAGUACUUUCAGCGGGGAGGAAGGCGAUGUGGUUAAUAACCGCAUCGAUUGACGUUACCCGCAGAAGAAGCACCGGCUAACUCCGUGCCAGCAGCCGCGGUAAU